AAUGUGAGGCCCUAUUAGUCCCACAUCAGAUAUGAAUGAGGUUGUGAUUCGGUAUAUAAGAGAUCAUGGACACUAGUAAUAAUAACUGAACUUAAACAUUUUAGGUCGGUAGUUUAGACCCAAAGAGUUAUUAUUGCCAAUGGGCCGGGUCGUUAUAUUUGGUAUCAGAGCCAAUCACCAGUCGAAAAGUAUGAGAUGAGUCUCGACGGAGCCAAGCUAGGGUCGAAAUAACAAGGCUAGCAAGACAAAUCUCACAUCACUUAGGGAUCUUGGACUAUGUGUGUGAUCCUACAUCAGAUCACAUAGCUUAGUGAUCUUGGACUAUAUGUGUGAUCCUACAUCAAAUG
rnacentral:lncRNA from 1 species